rnacentral:rRNA from 1 species
GACGAACGCUGGCGGCGUGCUUAACACAUGCAAGUCGAACGGAAAGGCCCUGCUUUUGUGGGGUGCUCGAGUGGCGAACGGGUGAGUAACACGUGAGUAACCUGCCCUUGACUUUGGGAUAACUUCAGGAAACUGGUGCUAAUACCGGAGAGGAGCUCCUGCUGCAUGGUGGGGGUUGGAAAGUUUCGGCGGUUGGGGAUGGACUCGCGGCUUAUCAGCUUGUUGGUGGGGUAGUGGCUUACCAAGGCUUUGACGGGUAGCCGGCCUGAGAGGGUGACCGGCGACAUUGGGACUGAGAUACGGCCCAGAUUCCUACGGGAGGCAGCAGUGGGGAAUAUUGAACAAUGGGCGGAAGCCUGAUGCAGCAACGCCGCGUGCGGGAUGACGGCCUUCGGGUUGUAAACCGCUUUCGCCUGUGACGAAGCGUGAGUGACGGUAAUGGGUAAAGAAGCACCGGCCAACUACGUG